UCUCUCUCCUCCUCCUCUCAGCUCUAGACCCCUUCCACCCCUAUCUGUUUCCUCUCCCUCCUCCUCCUCUCAGCUCUAGACCCCUUCCACCCCUAUCUGUUUCCUCUCUCUCCUCCUCCUCCUCAGCUCUAGACCCCUUCCACCUCUGUUUCCUCUCUCCUCCUGUCAGCUCUAGACCCCUUCCACCCCUAUCUGUUUCCUCUCUCUCCUCCUCCUCUCAGCUCUAGACCCCUUCCACCCCUAUCUGUUUCCUCUGUCUCCUCCUCCUCUCAGCUCUAGACCCCUUCCACCCCUAUCUGUUUCUGUCUCUCCUCCUCUCAGCUCUAGACCCCUUCCACCCCUAUCUGUUUCUGUUUCCUCCUCUCAGCUCUAGACCCCUUCCACCCCUAUCUGUUUCCCCAGCUCCUCUCAGCUCUAGACCCCUUCCACCCCUAUCUGUUUCCCUGUCUCUCCUCCUCUCAGCUCUAGACCCCUUGUUUCCGCUGUCUCUCCUCCUCUCAGCUCUAGACCCCUUCCACCCCUAUCUGUUUCCCCUGUCUCUCCUCCUCUCAGCUCUAGACCCCUUCCACCCCUAUCUGUUUCCUCUCUCUCCUCCUCCUCUCAGCUCUAGAACCCUUCCAUCCCCUGUCUCUCCUCCCCCUCUCAGCUCUAGACCCCUUCCACCCCGGGGUCUAUGUGGCUGGCUGGGGGAGCAUGCCUCCCUCUAGUUUGUCCCCUCACCAGGCGACCCUCUCUGCCCAGGCCUCCCUCUCUGCCCAGGCCACAGGCCUGCCUGCCCCCACCACAGGCCUGCCUGCCUGCCCCCAGGGGACCCUCCAACCCCCAGGCAACAUGGGACAGGCCUGCUUUAGUCCCCUGCCAGAUGCCUAUUGUGUGACUGGGACACUGGGCCUGGUCUGCUGGCCUGUUUUGACUGGCUGGCUUGCUGGCAGAUGGCUAACGUUACUGGAAGAAGUCUCAAGUGGGCUGGCUGCAAGACACAUACAGGCCAACCCAAGGCCCCUGACAGAGAGGGCACACUGGGUCUGUCGUGGGGGACUUGAGGACUUGGGGGGGAGAAGCAUCAAGCCACUGCUUUGUUGAGGCUUCUUUGUCGUUGUCCUUUUGGGAGGGGUUUAAUAUCCUCGCUUGUGUUACCUUCUGUGUUAAUAUUAUCAUUGUUAUUUCUUUUAAAUCAGGUUUAUAUAUGUAUGAUUAUGGAAUAUUUUAGGGCUGAUCUGUUGCACAGGUUUGAUUUGUUUUAAAUGGUUUUAAGGCGAUUAUUUGCUUUAAAAAUAUUCAAAAAUAACAAAUACAUUUUGACAGUGGUAUUGUGUACUAGCAUUAAAGGAUCCUCUAGCAUUAAAGGAUCCUCUAGCAUUAAAGGAUCCUCUAGCAUUAAAGGAUCCUCUAGCAUUAAAGGUUUGAGGUGUUGGUUGACUAGACUGAGGGGAGGUUUGAGGUGUUGGUUGACCUGACGAAGAGGGAAGGUUUGAGGAGUUGGUUGACUAGACUAAGAGGGAAGGUUUGAGGAGUUGGUUGACUAGACUAAGAGGGAAGGUUUGAGGAGUUGGUUGACUAGACUAAGAGGGAAGGUUUGAGGAGUUGGUUGACUAGACUAAGAGGGAAGGUUUGAGGAGUUGGUUGACCUGACGAAGAGGGAAGGUUUGAGGAGUUGGUUGACCUGACGAAGAGGGAAGGUUUGAGGAGUUGGUUGACCUGACGAAGAGGGAAGGUUUGAGGUGUUGGUUGACUAGACUGAGGGGAGGUUUGAGGUGUUGGUUGACCUGACGAAGAGGGAAGGUUUGAGGUGUUGGUUGACCUGACGAAGAGGGAAGGUUUGGCUAGAAGGAAGAAUCAUAGACGUGGUCGGUUUGAAGUCAGUCAGAAGAGUGGCCUUGUCAUCUAUAAUAAUACAUUUAUGGAGUUGCGUCCUGUUUUAAAAAUGAAGGCUGGGAGGUAGAGAGUGCUUGUUGAGACGGAGUGGCCGAAUUUGAGUUUAUUAUUUCUUGCAAAAUGAAAUGUAGCUCCUUUAAGAGGAGGAAGAAACAAGCAUGAUAAAAUCCUUCUUCAAAUGGUCUCCUGUUCACGCAGCCAUUUUGCAAGUCUUUAUAUCUGUAUAAUGAUGAAAUCUUUUAAUCUGUGUUAUUUUACAGAUUAUUUUUAUGAUAUAAUGUAGGUUGCUAGUAUGUGAUUCGCAUUAUUCUGGCUUCUGCAAAUGUGUUUACCACGAUAUUGACGUUUACCAACCCACUCAUCAUUCUAUCGUUUGAUGGGUUGUAUGUAAUCCACUGUACAGUAAUGGCCCGUAUUUAAGAAAACAGAACGAGUGCUCUGCGGGAAUGGUACAAACAGAGACUAUGGCUACAUCCUAUUUAGCUAUAGGGUUGUGUGGAUAGGAAGGUGGCCUUUCUAUGUCUUCUUACUAUGGCUUCAGGUCAUGUUGAAUGAACUGCUCUGUCUGGGACAGUCUGUCAGUCCUAUGACUACUAGUGUUACUUGCUCCUGAUUUCCCAUUGAAUUGAAUCUCUCUGGGAAGUUUUGUGUUAUUUUUUUUUCCUGUCUUGCAUCAAGAAUCCAAAUCUUUAAGUUUAGUCACACACCCAAGUCACUAGGAGGGUCUUGAAUUGAAACAUAUAUAUAUAUAUAUAUAUAUGAGUUGGGAGAUCUAUACAAACCCAUCCGUCUAAGUGUGCGCAUGCCUAUGAGCUGAUUUUAUUUAUUUUAUUUGAGGUUUUUAUUUAAAAUGUUCAUUUAGUUUUUAUUUUAUCAAUGGGUUUUGAUUUUAAGUGACUGAAUCCAUUGUGAUACCGAUGAUCUCUUGCCUGGUAAGUGUGGUAUUACUGUGAUAUUUUAGAUUGAAAGCUAUGCUGUAGUGCUAUUGGCCGAUUCUGGUUCCAUAUGCAAUGUAGUGACUCAUUGAAACACAAUGGGGUCCUUCCUCAUCUGUGACACUGGGCCUCCCGGCGCCCUCCGACACUUGACCUUUAGGUCACGUGACGUACCCGACUAUUGAAUGCAAUGCACCUCCAUUUGCAUGUCAUUGACAUUGGAAGGAGGGAGACAGAAUGAGAUGGGAGGUGUUGGCGUGGUUACUCAAGCGAGGCAAGCUAGUCUCCCUGCCAGAGGGUGAUGAUGAGCUGUAGAAUUUGUGGUUGGUCGUCAAUUCGUUUUUUGGUUUUUUUUUUAUUAAGCAAUUGAAAAAAUAAACUAACUGAAAAGAGAAGUGGAAAA
ensembl:lncRNA